rnacentral:rRNA from 1 species
AUCAACUUUCGAUUGGUAGGAUAGAGGCCUACCAUGGUGGUAACGGGUAACGGGGUGUUAGGGCACGACACCGGAGAGGGAGCCUGAGAAACGGCUACCACAUCCAAGGAUGGCAGCAGGCGCGCAAAUUACCCAAUCCCGACACGGGGAGGUAGUGACAAUAAAUAACAAUACGGGGUUCUUUCGGAUUUCGUAAUUGGAAUGAGUACAGUUUAAAUCUCUUAACGAGGAACAAUUGGAGGGCAAGUCUGGUGCCAGCAGCCGCGGUAAUUCCAGCUCCAAUAGCGUAUAUUAAAGUUGCUGCAGUUAAAAAGCUCGUAGUUGAAUUUCGGGACCAAUAUGUCGGUCGUGCCUCGGUACGUACUGGCAUCGUUGGUUUCUCCCUUCUGACGAACCAUGAUGUCAUUUAUUUGGUGUCGUGGGGAAUCAGGACUGUUACUUUGAAAAAUUAGAGUGUUUAAAGCAGGCUCACGCUUGAAUACAUUAGCAUGGAAUAAUGAAAUAGGACGUUUGAUUCUAUUUUGUUGGUUUCUAGGAUCGACGUAAUGAUUAAUAGGGAUAGUUGGGGGCAUUAGUAUUCAAUUGUCAGAGGUGAAAUUCUUGGAUUUAUUGAAGACUAACUACUGCGAAAGCAUUUGCCAAGGAUGUUUUCAUUAAUCAAGAACGAAAGUUAGGGGAUCGAAGACGAUCAGAUACCGUCGUAGUCUUAACCAUAAACUAUGCCGACUAGGGAUCGGAUGAUGUUAAUUUUUUAAUGACUCAUUCGGCGCCUUACGGGAAACCAAAGUGUUUGGGUUC